rnacentral:lncRNA from 1 species
UUUUCUAGUUUUAUUUCAUAGAUGUACAAUUCACAAUGCCAUGGCCUUCAAACAUUUUAUUGCAAUUACCACAUAUGCACACAUAAUAAACACACAUGAGCAGAUAUGGUAUAUACAUAAAAAGUCUUAUAAAACAUUAUUUACCUUUUCUAUAUUAGGUGCAGUCUGAUAUUUUCUAUUUCUAUUAUAUUCCAUCUAACUUUCAUUUUUAAAAGCUGUGUGUAUUUCACAUUAGUUUGAAAACUGGUACUUAAGCGCAUAUUAUAUCUCACAUCCAUAUCUUUUUUGCAUACGACCCCGGUGAAGACAACCUGUUAAUGCUGAUGGUAUCGGGCCAAGCAAAAUUCAAAUAUUUCUUUUGUUGGUGUCCAGAACACGUACUAAAAAUUUUUGUUCUGAAGUCGAGAAGUUCUAAUUGUGCUGUACUGUAUGUAUACCAUUAAAUUGUGGCACAGAAUUGGUUCAAAAAAAAAAAAAAAAAAAAAGCCACAAGACCUUCCAGAUCCUUCUAAUGAACUGUAACAAGAAGAAUGACUGAAGGGAAUUGUUAAGGACAAGCUUAUGGGUAGGAUGGGAAUAGGUUCUACUCUGUUACAGUUUAGAGUAUGAGCUUAUUAAAUCCACCUGAAAUUUUUUAACUACCACCCCUGUCUUUUUUAAAAAAGGGAAAUUACCAAAAAAAAGUUAAAAUUAGGCAAUUAAAACCUGGGAUACCUACAUUUGUUUUCUCAGUAACCUUAACCUUUACACUAUCUAGUGGUUAAAGAUUUGGUGUUGUGGCGUAGGAUUAAGGAUUUUGUGUUGUCACUGGUGGCCUAGUGGUUAAAGAUUUGGUGUUGUCACUGCAGUGGCUCAGGUUGGAUCACUGCCUGGGAACUUCUGGAUGCUGUGGGCGUGGACAAAAAAAUAAAUACAGUGAGAUUUGCUUGGAUAGAUUUAAAGUAUAUUCUAUAUCGGUAUAUUGAAUUUUCAAAUAUAAUCUUUUUUUUUGUAUAAUGAUUUUCGUUUUUUUGCUUUGGGUUAAUAGAUGCUAACUACUGCCUUUGGAAUGGAUUAGCAAUGAGAUCCUGCUGUGUAGCACUGGGAACCAUAAUCUGCUUUUUAAAAAGCUUGAUGCAUCAUAGUAUAUACAAAAUUAUAAGACAAUUUAAUUGAGAGGUAUUUAUCCCUACCCUAUAUAAAGUCCUUUAUAAAAUGUGUUGAGAAAAGAUUUGCUUUGAGCAUUUUUGAGGAUAAUGAUAAUGCACAAUUAUGUUCUUUUUCUGUGCUAAGUAUCAUGCUUGUUAUUUUACACAUCUUUUUAUCUAUAUUUGCAACAAUUGUAUGUAAUGGAUAAUAGCAGAUAGUAAAUCCAUAGUGCAAACUCUCUAAAACCUGAGUCCUUAACUUUAAAGUAUACAUACUUUUCAGAAACCCAAAUACUAUCAGAGCAAAUAACUCCUGGAUAUUACUGUUACAGACUUUUUCCUGAGUUGUAGACCCAAAGCAGACAGAUACACAGGCAUCUCUAAUAUUUCAAACUAAACACCUUAUUUUCUCACACUUGCUUACCCCUAACCUCCCUGAAGACCUUCAGUCUAGAUGAUCUCUUAGCAAUCUCCCUUUUCCUCUUUUCAAUAAAUAGUUAUCUAAGCUAGCACUCUGUGAGAGCCCUUUGACCUCUCCAUCGUUGUCUCUGCUCCACUCACAACCAUCCAAUGAAUUGUAUUGACUUCCUUGGUAAAUCUCGAAUCCUUCCACUUUCCUCAAGACUAGCUGUCAUUAUCUAGUCAGACAAGUUUAUUCUUCUCAUCAGUAAAUUUUUGGGUAUUGUCAUGUUAUUUCUGACUCCUCUUUUCUGCUCUUCCUUAUCCUGUUCACAGCAGCUAGAAUGAUCUUUAUAUCGUUAAUAUUUUAUCUCUGAUUAAUUCUUUCUUGCUUAAAAAUCCUUCAAUGGCUCCUCAUUUUCAGCAUAAAGCCUGUGAUCCUUAGCCUGAUAUGCAGAGCCAUUCAUCUGUAAUCUGAUUUCUCUCCACUUCCUCAAUUCCCUUUAUAUUUUUUGUAAAUUUCUAUUAAUUUCUUGAGCAUCUACUAACUCAACCUAAAUAUGCUUGCUUCCAACCCUCUACUUUAGGAGCUAUUUCUAUGUUUUCUCUUAAGGCCCUGGAAAAAAUAUAUUAUUUAUUUAUAUAUAUAAAUUCUCAUAUGCAUUAUCCUCAUCCACCUUCCUACCUGCAUUAAACCAGGAGCUCCUUUGGUGAAGAUUCUUUGUUUUACUUAUCUUUAUAACUCCAGGACUCAGCAUAAUAAAAAAGGCAAAUCAAUAUAUUGUUGUAAGGCACUUUAAUGUAGAAUAUUUUUGUGAGCAACCUUCCUUCAAUACACUAAAAAUUAAUGAAUGCUUGUAAAUUGACUUACAAAAUGUACCUGAUUUACUUAUAGGCCUUUUGACUCUAGGAAAAUCACUUAUUUUCAAAAGUGAAUCUCCUAUUCUAGGAAAGGAGAGAUGAUUUAAAAUUAGAUUAACUACCAUUGUUUACCUUGUUCUGAGAAAUAGGUGAGAACAGAAUAAAGGCUAGGGAAAAAGAAAUACAUUGGGCAUUCACUUCAAUAUCAAGAAAGAAUGGACUCUUUAUGGAAUGAGUCUGGCAAGACCUUCCCAUCUAGGGAAGUAUGAAGUAGUAGAAAGGGGUCAAAAACAGGAGUUCAUAAGCAUAAAUUAAAAUUUCUGGGCCUCAGGUGAAGCUGGGUGUAACUCUCAUCAGUAACAUAGGAAUGAAAAAGCUGCUCAUCUAGCUUUCCAAGCCUGUGAUGAAGCUUGGAUGAGAAAAACUGUAUCAGACCAUUUUGAAAAGUACAGAAUGCUCUCAAAUAUAAGAUUUGAGACCAUUAAGUUAAAAUACUUUGCAGAGCUUUCCUGAAUACUCAUCAGGAGCACAGGCUCACAGGCUUAGAAUUUCUCAUUAUGUGUUGCCUGCAUCUCUCCCUACUGCAGUGCUGGCUUUCCAAGCUUAGGGCCAUGCCUUACAACUUCAUACCUCCAGUGCUGGGUAUAAUAUCUAGGAUCAAGCAAUUACUCCAUACAUAUUUGAUGACUGAUUUAUCAACAGGUUGUUGGUAUAAGGUGUUCUUUACGGUGGGGUGAUUGAAGAACAUUCAUAAGUUAUUAUUAUAGAUAAACUAGGGCAUACUUUUAGUAUUGGCAUGUUUUUGGUGUUUGGGAUUACUAUAGAUGUUUUUACCAUUUUAAUAAGUCAGCAACAUUUCAGAUAACUGUAAGAUGAGGAAGAAAAAGAGUUGGGGGUUAAUAACAUUUGUGAAAGAACCAUAAAGUUACUUCAAAGAAUUCUCUAUCUUUUUCUACCUUCAGAACCUGUUGUUUUUUUUUUAAUUUUAAUUUGACCUUCACUUCAUUUCUCCUAAAAAUGAUGUUUGAGUGUUCUUUCUUUAAAUUAAACUUAUUUGUUUGGGGGAGAUUUUUCUAUUUAUGGAAAAGUUGCAAAGAUAAUACAGAGGGCUUUCAAGUAUCUUUUACUCUAUAGUAUGCUUCUCUAAUUUUAACAUGUGAUACAACUCAUUUUUUUUUUAAAUUUAAAAUGAAGUAGAAUGUAGUUUAGAAACUCUUUUUGGGAAAUGUCUGAAGAAUUAUGUGAUACCCAUUGGAAGUUAUAGAAGAGAACAUUUUAGUUGCAGUGCUGGAAUCAGGAAUCACUGGGUCAAUCAUAGAUAAUAACAGUCAUGUAGAACCAUCUGAACUUAUAACUUUGGCUAGGUAGAAAAAUAAGUCUGGAGGUGACCUCUGUAGAUAUGUUACUUGAAAUAUUCUUACAAAAAUGGACACAAAAGACAUUACUCUCUGGAAAAACAAACCCUGGAAAAAAGAAUCUGAACAAUUGUCUUCAUUGUAUAUCAGAAAAGUGUCGAAGUAAUUCUAUACACAUAAAAUUAACUAAAGAAGAUCAUGAUCAAAAUGUUGAAAUAUGCAGGCAUGUUAUAGGAAACUAUACAAGUUCACAUAGUGGGAAGUUGUAAGAGUAUUUACUUUAUUUCAGCUGAGUGUAUGUAGAUUCUUACUUACACCAAAGUUAAUUUCCUUAAAAUAUAAUUGUUUGGGUUUACUUGUAAACAACUAUUAUUUGAGGUUCUUUGUGAUGAGCGAAGUGAAAACAAAUUAAGCACGAAUUAGUACCUAUCAAUAGUCUUUCAUAGUAUAUAAAGAUGGUAAAAUAUGUUUCAUAUGGAAUAAAUACAUAAGCUUUUGUUGUUUUUUUUAACCCUCUAAUAUACUCCAUAUUUUUUUUCCUUUACUACAUUCUUGCUGUAUUAAACAAGAUAUAUAUUACCUAUGGACUUAAUAGUCAAAUAUUUUAGGUUAGGUUGCUUUUGGAGUCAAGCUGUAAUUUAAUGAAGAAGACUUGGUGAACAUAUUCAAAUUUCAUGACACUUUAAUCUUCCUUCUGAUAUGCUUAAAAUAUGUAAAGAUCUCAGGUAAUUGACUCAAUGAACUAAGGUUUUCAAGUGGAUGUAAUUAUGUCACAGGCCUGAGAGCAGCAUCACUGGAGUUUUGUGCCAGCAUACCCAUCUCCUACUCAAGGGAGAGCGGCUGCUUGCCCCGGACUCACUGUAUGAUCUUGAGCGAGUCACCUCACAUUCUUGAACCUCAGUCAACCCAUUUGGAGAAUUAGGUGAAAGCUAAGCCUUAGUGAAAAACAGAUGCUACAUCUGAGAUGAGUUUUCUUGUGUAAACAAGUAAUUCCAAAGUUUAAUUCCAAAGAAAGUCGCUGUGUGGAGGAUGGUGAUACAUCUGAAGUAGACAAUCAGGCUAAGACUUGUGGAAUAAAUAUGUUUUUGAAUAGAAAUUAUAGCAUUGUAAUAUUACAUCUGGGUUUCUUAAAAUUAUUUUAUCUAGUUUUUAGAUAUAUACUGUUGUGAUUUUAAUAAAACUUAAUGUUUUGGAGUUUUUGUAUAUAGUAAGUUAUACUUCUAACAAGUCAAUUAAGUUGUCAAGAUAAGGGGAAAUAAAACUCAAAAUAGUCCAGUUAUUACCUAGUGAAAGUCAAUGAAAGUUAAGACCUCUUCUCUUUGGGAUAAAAGUUAACAAUCAAGGGAUUUAAAGACAUGUGGUUUUUAAAGACAACAGUUAAGUCUGUAUUUUGGUUUAGUUCCCAGUAGAUCAUUUGUCACUUUGGUAAAUUCUUAUGCUCUACAACACUUUG